AGAAUCAACGCUGGCGGCGUGCCUAACACAUGCAAGUCGAACGCGAAAGCCCCGCAAGGGGUGAGUAGAGUGGCAAACGGGUGAGUAACACGUGGGUGAUCUGCCUCAGAGUGGGGGAUAACGACCCGAAAGGGUCGCUAAUACCGCAUAACAUCCUGCCUUUGGAUAGGUGGAGAUCAAAGUUGGGGAUCCGCAAGGACCUGACGCUUGGAGAGGAGCCCGCGGCCGAUUAGCUAGUUGGUGAGGUAACGGCUCACCAAGGCAACGAUCGGUA
rnacentral:rRNA from 2 species